rnacentral:rRNA from 1 species
AUUGAACGCUGGCGGCAGGCCUAACACAUGCAAGUCGAGCGGAUGAAGGGAGCUUGCUCCUGGAUUCAGCGGCGGACGGGUGAGUAAUGCCUAGGAAUCUGCCUGGUAGUGGGGGAUAUCGUCCGGAAACGGGCGCUAAUACCGCAUACGUCCUGAGGGAGAAAGUGGGGGAUCUUCGGACCUCACGCUAUCAGAUGAGCCUAGGUCGGAUUAGCUAGUUGGUGGGGUAAAGGCCUACCAAGGCGACGAUCCGUAACUGGUCUGAGAGGAUGAUCAGUCACCUGGGAACUGAGACACGGCCCAGCCCCCUAGGGGAGGCCGAAGGGGGGAAUUUUGGACAAGGGGCGAAAGCCUGAUCCAGCCAUGCCGGGUGGGUGAAGAAGGGUUUCGGUUUGUAAAGCACUUUAAGUUGGGAGGAAGGGCAGUAAGUUAAUCCCUUGCUGUUUGGACGUUACCAACAGAAUAAGCACCGGCUAACUUCGU